GACGAACGCUGGCGGCGUGCCUAAUACAUGCAAGUCGAACGCUGAAGGAGGAGCUUGCUUCUCUGGAUGAGUUGCGAACGGGUGAGUAACGCGUAGGUAACCUGCCUGGUAGCGGGGGAUAACUAUUGGAAACGAUAGCUAAUACCGCAUAAGAGUAGAUGUUGCAUGACAUUUGCUUAAAAGGUGCAAUUGCAUCACUACCAGAUGGACCUGCGUUGUAUUAGCUAGUUGGUGGGGUAACGGCUCACCAAGGCGACGAUACAUAGCCGACCUGAGAGGGUGAUCGGCCACACUGGGACUGAGACACGGCCCAGACUCCUACGGGAGGCAGCAGUAGGGAAUCUUCGGCAAUGGACGGAAGUCUGACCGAGCAACGCCGCGUGAGUGAAGAAGGUUUUCGGAUCGUAAAGCUCUGUUGUAAGAGAAGAACGGGUGUGAGAGUGGAAAGUUCACACUGUGACGGUAUCUUACCAGAAAGGGACGGCUAACUACGUG
rnacentral:rRNA from 1 species